GAGUCAGAAGAGAGCGUUAGUCAUAGGGCUACUGAAACACAAGGUGACGAGAACUAUUAGGCAAUUGAGUGCAUUCCCUGCAGGGCUGCUCCCACUUCUAUCUGACUUGGGUCUAGAUGACUCAAGUGAUUCCCGAGGGGAAAAUAAUCUAUGUGGAACAGCUGUCAUGAGCAGGCCUUCUGCUGCUCUUCAGCCUCAAUUUCAGCCUGCUACUUCCCGUGACAUCAUUCAGUGAUUCCUCCCUUUAAGGGGACAGUUUUCUCUUGUAUUACAGCUGUCUGCCUACGGAAGGCUCCAGAGUCCCUGACGCAUAUUUAUAUCUCCACUUCACUGAAGUCACAAGGAACAAACACACACCUGCCAUUUCCCAAAUCUCAUAAAACAUAUAAAUGGAUGAGACCAAAGAGAGGCAUGAGAUUCCAUUCUUAUGGUUCACAGGAAGCACCUGGCACACAGUAACUAUUAUUAAUUUCUGCACUGGAGGCAUCAGGAAAGCCUUCACGCUAUAGGGGGCCCUUUUAAGUUAAGAAGUUGGAGAGCAAGCCUCGGGGAAAGCAAAGAGAUAACUUAGUAGAAUGGAGCAACCAUACGGGAACAGU
rnacentral:lncRNA from 1 species